rnacentral:miRNA from 1 species
GAUAACAGGGGGGAUGGAAUGGACACUGCGGAGAACUAUGUGCCUUCCCUGGCCUCCCACAG